rnacentral:rRNA from 1 species
AUAGCUUUAGGGCUAGCCUCAAGGUGAGAGAUACGGAGGUAGAGCACUGAAUGUCCUAGGGGGUAUUGCACCUACCGAAGACUAUCAAACUCCGAAUGCCGUCAUCUUAUACUUGGGAGUCAGACUGUGGGUGAUAAGAUUCAUAGUCGAAAGGGCAACAGCCCAGAUCGUCAGCUAAGGUCCCUAAAUGUAAGUUAAGUGGUAAAGGAUGUGGGAUUGCACAGACAACCAGGAUGUUGGCUUAGAAGCAGCCACUCAUUCAAAGAGUGCGUAAUAGCUCACUGGUCGAGUGAUCCUGCGCCGAAGAUUUCCGGGGCUAAAACUUACUACCGAAGCUACGGCAUCAGUAAUGAUGGGUAGGGGAGCUUCCCAUACGGGUUGAAGCAUGACCGUAAGGACAUGUGGACAGUAUGGGAGUGAGAAUGUUGGCAU